AUAAGGCUGUGUCUUGAUGAUACAAAGUCUUUGCUCUAUUACUGGUUCCUACUUACUCCUUGUUCCUUCCUUGUUACACAGCACACCAGCCCUCAGCUCUGUGUGGUGCACUGGGAACCACAUCUGGACACUGAAAAAUUAACCAGGAUUUUAAAUGAGAAGGCAGGAAUAUAUCACCUCCCAAGAAAGAUACUGUAGCAAUAGAUAAAAUAACAUUCCAUUGGGUCAACUUCGGGUCCCACUGAAUUUUCUGUUAUUUUACAGCACUGGACUUGAUCUUUGGUGAUGCUCAGCCCAAAUGCCUUCACUGCCCUCCCUUAUUAACUUCUUGAAGAAAAGAGGAGCCUUGUACCGUGUUACGAUGCUGAUAUCCAGUAUCCCGCUGUCAUUUAUGCUGGGUAAUUGCAAACUGCAUGGAGAACGUACACCUGAAGCACAGCAAAUAGAAAUGGGAAAUAUCCGUUAAGGGACAUGGUGAUAAUUUCCAUGACAACACAGAAAGAUUCCAGAAACAGAGAUUUCUGACUAAAUAUAUGAAGGUUGUUGAAAAGCACAACUGCAAGAAUUCUGCCUACUCACUGGGAAUAACAGACAGAAGAGUUAAGCCUCUGUGUGUGUGACAAUGCUGGUACCACCUGUGAAGUCCUGGGAUUCCCAUAUCCUGGUUAUCCCAGCCAUGCACAGGGAUGGGAACUGGGCAUCCUCCCUACUUGAGUGCUUCAGGAACUGAUCCAAAGAGAAACCUCUGGAUGGACAACUGUUGAAGAGAAGGUGACGUGGGGAAAAAGGUAGGGAUGAUAUCUUUAUUGGGGCAUCUGGACUUGCUGCAACACUGAGAGGAAACCUUCAAAAGAAUGAGAAGUGUGAGAAACUGCCUACAAAAUGCUGCUCCAAGGACCUAUUUUGCCCAAAUAAUCACUUUCAGAAACAGUCAACAUGCUUUUAAAGAAAAAUAACCUGGAAAAAUAGUGAUAUAAAAGCUCCCUUUGAAGAGACCCUGUAAGGCUGAAGCUUGCAUUUGAACAAAUCUCUCCCUAAGUUUCUAAGAACACUUUCUAAACCACCAUUUAAAACCUUUCAGUUACUACUUUUUGCUAUUUAUGCUCUUCAUUGACUUUUUGCCUUUAUUUUCCACUCUUGUGACCAAACAAAUCUGGUACCUUUUGCUUGCUCAAUACAGCUCACGUCGUUCUCCUCGUGCCCUGCUGCAGUUCAUUGCCUGUGGUUGGGAACACCACCAUCCCCAAGAGAAGCAGGAUUUAAUUACUUUUAUUAAUGAAAUCCACUUUUGAAGACUAAACCAUUUGACUAUGUCCCUUUCAAAAUGGAAAUAACUGGGAACAAAACCUAUUUUUAAAAACCGCAGUUUGCAAAUUCUUGUCUCAAAGACCAAAUUCUGCGAGUUCCUCUGCAGACCCAGCAAGUUCUGUAGGUUCCUUUGCAGAACCAGCUCAGACUUUAUAGGAAGAUGUGAAGACCAAGUGGAAGAGCCUCUCACACAACCUAAAUUGUUACAGCUCGUUGCCUUUCUGGGGAAAACAAUUGCUGUGGCUCCCUCAGAGCGCGGUGGCAGAUUUCCCUUUGGAGGUCAGGGCCUGUUUCAAGCGUCUCUUCAGGUCCUGCAUGUUGGGGGACUUGGGCCGGACGAGGUGGAGGCCGCGGCGCUUCUCUCCGUUGCAGCUGCCGAUGAUCCUGCUGAGCUCCUGGCACAGCUGCUGGAAGGCCUCGUGCACACCCUCGCAGUUCUCCCGGGCCGACACCUCGUGGUGGAGUCACUUAGAGAUGGAGCAACCAUGAGACAACAACUGUGUGGAAAAGCACUGAGCAGAUGUUUUACCUCCAGUGAGACAAAGGGAGUGUCCUGCACCUGCAGAGAGAUCUGCUCCCCAUCUAUGGUGAACUUCCUGGAAUACAGAGCACCUGGAGGGAAAGGAAGAUGGUGAGUCCGGGACUGGAGGAGAAAAGAGCACAGAAAGGCAAAAGGGAACUGUUGGAAGGUAGAAUUUUGUGGGAUAUGUAGCUGCCCAUGGGGAAGGGAACGGCCUGGCAGUGGUUGUUGUUGGCUCAGUGGUGGGGGGUAUUUACUGGGGGGGAUGUUUUGGAUGGACAGCCAGGAUGGGGGCUGGGAAAGAGGCUCUUUGUACUGAAAUACUCCAAGUGGGGGCAUAAAUCCCAGUCAGGUUUCACCCCCUAUUAUUCACUUUAUAAAAUGUGAACUGCAUUUAUAUUCCAUCUCAAACCAAGAUAUCUAGAUGUUGUCUGUAAGAGGAGUGAGCUGUUUCCUACUGCAUUUUUCUGGAUGUCUUUAAAAAAGAAAAGCAUUCUAGUUUGGGACAGUGAGUGACUGUAUCCAAACCACUCAGAUACUCUUUGGGAUUUGCAUGAUUUUAGCAGAGUUUGGUUGAAAUCCCCAAAGACUGGAUGCCUUGAACCUGACCUCUGGUUAAUCUGGAUGACACAUGUUCAGGGCCAAGUGCCAGUUCAGACCAUCCAGGACUGAUCUAGCUCUAAUAAAACCAUCACUAGUCUGGCCCGAAACUUAUUUUGUUACUGGAGUGGGAGUUAAGUGACAAUGAAAAUCUAAAUCUUGAUCUUCUGAAAUAUCUGUGGUUGUGACAAGAACAACUUCAGAGGUUGAUGUCAUCAUGAUUUUUCUUUAGAACUUAACACAAGUCACGUGGAUAUGUGAAGAAGUGCUUUCUGCACAGCUGGGGUGUACAGCCCUUCUGUCUGCUCCAAAUACAAUAGUCACUGCUGCCUCUAGAACAAUGUGCUGCAGCUCCAACACAGAGGAACCCCAGCUGCUGGAGAGGCAGCAGUUCAGAUUAACAGGGAGGUCAGCCAGUGACAAUAAUGCUUCUGAAAAUCAUCUUGGUUUCAAGGAAACAAGUGGGUUUAUUCCAGUGGCAAAGAAUCCGAGCCCAUAGAAACAUUUACAAUACAAGGGAAUUUAGCACCUGAAUGCAAAGUGUUUUAAUACGGACUGUAAGGGAAUCUAGCCCUUGUGGGAUUCAUUUUGGGCUUUUUAAACAGGUCAGAUAUUAAGCUGAAAAGAUGGCACUGUUUUAUGGGAACCAUGAGCAGCCAACAUGUUAUUCCCAUUGUGACCAAAGAGCAGGUUCUCCAGAGGAAGGAGAACACGGCUGAGUGAUCCCAAAUCCACUGCCACCUGUUUCUUCUUUCUGGCACAUUUAGCUCUUCUCCAGCAUGGCCGUUGGCCUGGGAGCUUAAUGAGGAAAGCAUGUGGUUCCCAGCAAUGGCUCUGGCAGGAAUCCACUGCACAGCUCGAGUCUGACUUGAUGUACAACCUCCCCGGGAAGGGCUGACGGAACAGGAAGAGAACCAGUGCAGCCAAGCAUCAGGGUUACCCGGGGUCAGCGAGGGGGAGCUGUCAGGAGGAGCUUUCACAUUGUAUUUCAUCAGACAGGCAGAGAUCAAAGGUGUCGUGUACUGCUCCCUCUUUCCUGCUCCUCAUCCUGAGUUCUGCAGGCACCUCCAAAGUGAACCAAUCGCUGCUUGGAAUCCUGUCCGCCUUCACCCAAACACUGUGAGCUGGAUGUGCCAGUAGGAAUGAGCACAGGGGACGUGACCCAUCCUACAAAACCAGCCAAAUCAGUCAGCAUUCCUUGGAACAGAGGCUGUGAAUGAAACAGGAACAUACCCUCUGAGGUGCCAGCAUUAAACAAGGAAUGAAUGGUCACUUUGCUUAUCUGAGGGAAAGAAGACUUCAGUUUGAAAGUCUCCCUGGUCAUAACAGCCUCUGAAAAAAGGGAAUGCACAGAAAACCCCCUGAGCUGCAUUUUACACCCUUUGGAAUUGCUUUGGCUUCCCCGGGGUUCCAGGGAGAGCAGCGUUGGGUUUCCACGGUUUAGUUGUUCCUUGAGUCUGUGUUUUAGUAUAGGUAUGUGCCCAAGCAAACCUUUUACUCUGAUCCUUUUCCAUCGAGUAGGAAAAAAAAUAGCUGAAGGGGUCAUAAAUAAUGAGCCGUUGAUUUAUUGCUUUCAUAGCUCCAGGCUAUGAACUGAAAAUAUGCACCUUAUGGACAUCUAACACCGCCUGGCUUUCCUGUAAUGUGCACCAGUCACUACAGAGAGCAGAUUUAUUUUCAAACUAUCUGCAGUCCUGCUGGAGAGAGCAAACUCACCAGUGUUGGCUUCAUAGUCCCCAAUAAAUCUCUUGGUGAGAAAACGCACAACCAGGGCUGCAAAACAAUGACAAAAACAUGGGCCCUUAAUGGGAACCAAAAGCAAUCUGUGCAGAACACAUGUAGCAUCUUCCUGGAAGAAUUAGUCUCAUAUGAAACCAAGUUAAUCUCUGGACUGCUCACAUGUUACUCUGCAAAUACUUCUCUCAACACUCACAGAGGAAGAUCUGGGGCCAGGCUGUGAUACCUGAUCCAGAGCUUUUCACAGCUUGUGUUGGAAGUGAGCCCUUGGUUCAGUGUGGCUGUUCAGGGUGGGACACAGAGGUUGGCUCCUUGUGACUGGAGGUAAAACAAUCUGUGCUUUGCUCUGAAAUAAUGUAGAAAAGGACUAACAAGCCAGUGGACUGCAACUAGUCCAAAUACCACAUUUGUGUCCUGUGUCAUACGAGAAGGGAGGGGGAUGGAUGGGAUGGUUCUUCCUGGUCUUAAAAACCCUCCUGAAACCCAGGAGUGAGACCAGAUCACACCCAGCAAACAAACUGCAUGUGCUCUGCACACUUGUGUCUCCUGCAGCACCCCGGGCCUUCUUAUUCCCCUUAACCUGUGCUGCUUUUACAUUAGAACAUUUUCCUUUUUCUUGAUAAUUUAGAACACUUAAAAUCCCAUCAUGGGAACAGUAACUUAUAUUCCUGUAGUGCUUUCCUGUAGUAGAUUCCUAGGACCUUGCAAAACCACUUAAUUACUGGCUAAAUAAAACGGUUUAUUCUGCAAACAACUCUUAUCAUAGAUUUCAUUUAAAACAAUCAUUUUUUUUCACAGUGGUCACCCUUUUAGCCCCUUUAGAUGAAAUUGCCUGUGCAAUGAUCUUCAACAAACUACUUAAAAAUAACAGGGAAAUGUGGCUGCUUCAAAGCCAGUCCAAUGAAGUAUUUUACUGAAUCCUGUGGAACCUCAGAUGUCAUCAAUCAGAUCUGGUCUUAAUAAUUUCUGACAUCAUGAACCAUAUAUUCAAAAGCAAAAAUGCUCAUUUUACCCUCUUUCCCACUCCUUUGGAGAAUAAUCCAGAAAGACACCUCUUGUAUGCUGCUGUUUGUCUGCAGAGCAUAAAAUAGCAUAAUACAGCAGGGGGAUAAGAGCCACUGGUGCCAUUUUGGGGGGUGGAAAUUUAGACACGGUUCAAUAAUUUACACAAGGCCAGGUAGAAUCAUCUGCGAGCACAAAACUCCCAGCUCUGCCCCUCCCUUCUCAGCCUCUGCUGCUCACAGCCCCCGACAGCAAAGCCACUUCACUUUAAAAAAUAAUAACUCCAAAUGUUCGAGAUGCACCAAAUUCUGCGGUGCUGGGUUUGCAUGAGGUGCAGAGGAGCUGGGAAUUCCCGCUGGCAGGAAAAGCAGGGAACACACCUGAGUUCUUACCUGUCUUGCCGACGCUGCUGCCGCCCAGCACCACGAGCUUGAUGAUCUUGUUGGGCACAAGGUCACCCACGGGGUACUCCGGGAUGGGCAGCAGGAGGAAGUUAGUGGAAUACUGGGACAUGGUAUCCUGAGGGAUGAGCCGCAUGCCAGGAAUGAGAGCUGCUGCGCUCGGCCCGGGGGAGAAAAGAAGGAAAGCGGCCCCUCGGCGCCUGUUCCUGGCCGUGUAUCCUUGGGGAGAGGAGCCUUCUCAUCUCCUCGGAGCAGUUUUCUCCAGGAAUGUGAGAGCGCCCGGCCUCCUCUUCCCGAUGGCUCCGCUCAGACAGAGACUUUGGAAAGCAAAAGGGAACUUUCUGAUCAGCCCCCGUGAAAACUGACUCCUCCAUCCCGCAGCCAAUCACGAGGGGAACCGGGACAUUCCUGGAGCCGGGCACGGGGAGCCUGAGCCUCCAUCCCCGGCUCUCCCCGCGCUGCCUCCCUCCCCACGGCCUGUUUGAUGUGCUGCUGUCCCUUGGCUCUCUGCUACCACGAGAUUCUUGUGUUUUCCAGCCGUCACGAUACGGUCACCCCGUGCUCUGCUCUAAUCCCACCCUGAAUAACCCGGUUCUGCCUGUCCGGUUCCUUUGCGUUUUCAAUGGGCUCCAACCCCGCUCUGUUGUUCUCCCUGUCCUAUUGUGUCCUGCUUUGGGCCCCUUUGGAGCGCUGAUGGGACACUCCUCUUCAGGAAAACAAACACAUUUCCCCCCUACACCCCCCCGAGUUUUUAGGCAGCUGGGGGUUAUUCCCAAAUCCCAGCUGACAUGUGUGUCCUCCAAGAUACAUUUGAUCUGCUGGUUUAUACGUGUUGUUGGUCCUAAUGGCCCUCUGGAACAUGGGUCAGCAUUGGGUUGGGACACUGCAGCCUCUCCAAACAUGGAAAAGGAAAUUUAGGGCUGGUGACAGCCUUGGGGAGCUGAGGAAGGGCGAGCCAGACAGAGGGAGUGAAGAAAGAAUGACUUCUACAGGAAAAGUGAGCAUAGUUUUAGGACAGCUGGGGCUGUGAGGGCUGUGGGGAUGAGAGCCUGUAACUGUACAGCAGCUACAAUCAGCUCUCAGCUCCCAGGGAUAACGGGCAGGGAAGAAAAAGGGAAGAGCACUGGGGAGGGAAUGACCCAGAUAAAGCAAAACUGCAGAUAUAAACCAGAUGGAAAUUAAAGAACAGAAAUGUAACUGGAGCAUUUAAUCUUUGAAAGACUUCUCUGAAGGGGACUGAAGAAGCAGGAGAGGCAGAGCUGCAGAGAUUGCUGAGCCAUGGACUGUCCGGCUGUGUGGGACACGUGGAUAUGAACAGAGAUAAUCCACCCACAGCCCCUGGAGAGCUGAAGGUGCAGGUUUUCCCUGUGCUCUGCACACUCCUGGCAGGCAGGAGUAGGCUGGGCUCGCUGUGGAGAGGCUGGAGACACCAAACAGCCUCUCUGUGCCCAGCUGCUUCCACACCACUGCCCUCAUCCCCAGCACACGCCUGAGCCCUCCCCAGCAGGGUCUGGAGGGCAAGGGGGGGGUGUGAGAUACAACGAGAGGAUGGGAAAUCAUCCCAAAGCUCUGGGGACUGCCAUGACCUCAGUUUCCACACCAACACCAAGAGGAUGUGAACUGCCCUUAGAAAACUCCAGCUCCAGGGCAGAGCAGUCCAGUGAAAUCAGCACAAGAAUCUGAAGAUUUAUGAACAUGUCACUUCUCUAAGGUUCUGUUUCCCCCCUAAAAACCACUUGUGCAGCACUAUUUGUGCAAGCACAGGGUGUUGUUGCUGUGACCAUCAUGACAGUCAGCUGAGGAAGAGGUGGAAAAAAAGUCUGGAGGCCCACGCAGCUCAUGGUCCUGGGAGGGAGCCUCCAGAUCAUGUGUCUUUGGGGACAUGGCUCCUGUGGGAAUGGGUUUCAACUCUUCCAGUGUAAAUUGGCUUCCGGAGACUUAAAACACUAAAGCACUAAAAAAAACAAAAAUCUUUUCCGGGAAAUUUCUUUCCCAGGCUGCUUUAGUCUCACGUAAGUUUUGUAAGAACAGGCAAAACGAGAGGAGAAACAGGAAAAAAGCUCAAAAUCUUGUGGUCAAUUAAUAUGGCCCUUUGAAAUGUGUUCUUGAGCUGGACAUGUGAUAAAUCUGAGAUUAGUGGCAGUGUGUCACUGUCUGCCUCGCCAAGGGAAGGAUGUAGGAACCUUUGUUACAAUUUGCUAUUAAAAGCAUAUGUUAGUGAGUAAUAUGAAAGGAUUCAUCACAACAGUCCUCCUACAAAACCGAGCAGCAAUAUAUCUGUCAGCUUCUAGGUGGCCACAAGAGUUUCAGCCUGGGAAGAAAAGCCAGAAAAGAAUAUUCCAUAUGUGCAAGGACAUUCCUAGAAGAAAACACCUCUGCUGGUUGCUCCAAGAUUAACUGAAACAAUUCAGGUCCUCCUGGACUGUCGUGCCAGUGCUGAGAAGCUCCAGAAAGACCCCUCUGAAGAGAGUCAGUCGCAGUCACACAGAGUUGGAGGGUGAGCUUCAGUGUAGAUAAAUGUAAGGCGGAAAAAGGAUGUAAACUGUGCUUAAAUAAAGCUGAACUGGGAUGUGGGAUGUGAAAACGAGGAGUCACGACCACGGGAGCAGAGCAGCUGCUGCGUGAGGAGGCUGGGAAAGCUGUUUGCCAUGUGCUGGAGGGAUGGAUGCUGUGCUGACACGGGAGAGGAGAUGUGUGGGGGCAGCAGUGAGAGCAGUGGUGCAGGAAAUGUUGAACUGCUGCUCUUGGCGGCUGGGAGGGCUUGUGGUUGCUUAAAACAAAUGUGAAAGCAGUUGUAGGCUGCCUGCUGGAAGCAGACCAGUUGAUUUCCAGUUCCUUUGCAAUGGGGUUUAAUCUGAAUUUCUUGUGCACCAGCCCAGGCUUCUUGUGUUUCUCCCCAAAGCUUGUUCCACUGGGCACAGAAAUCUCUGUCCAGAGAGAAGGGUAAACAUAAAAAAGCAGCAUAUUCUCCAAAAGUUUUAAAUCUAUUCUCAAGCUCCUCAUAACUUUUAGCCUCUAAUUGUGAAAGAAUUCAAGCAGAAUAUAGAAUCAAACCCAGAGGUUUUCAGACCUGAUCCUUAUCUGAUUUUCUUGAUUGUCAAAAGAGUCUUUUCACUGAGUGAAACCACGCAGAAGGAUUCACACUCUUUGAGAUUGUGUAACCGUUGGCAUGUAAAAUAACAAUUGUUUUUAAAGGAGAUUUUAAUUCCUUGUGCACAAUGGACUUAUAUUUAGCUAAGAAACCCAUGUUUUAAAUUCAAAUUCUCUUGGAAAAACAAUAACUUAAAUUAGAGGGAGAAUGUUUGCAAAACUGAGAGUGACUUUGGAAACAUUUGGAGAUUUCACAAACCACUCCUUCAGCUGCUCAUGCAAAGAUUUGUGCCUUUGCAUGUUGUACAGAAAUUAUGUUACUUUCACACCGAAUUUUUAACAGAUUUAUUUAUUGGUCUGUGUUGCUUUUGGCUCUGCUUUUAUAAGAUUUUCUAUUUAUAUUGUUGUUGGCCCUCCUACACAUCUUCAGAGAUGAAGCUUUCCAAAAAUAAAAAUAUUUGCCAUUA